CACAGGUGGGAUUGCGUUUUGAAAUAUUGAAUAGGCAUUAAGUGUGAUUAGGUGGCUAAUGAUUCAUUACGGGUCCGCCCAAUUAAUUUGAAUACAGCUUGAGUUAAAAGGGGAGAGUUAGAGGAAUAACCAAAGGAAGGAUGAAAUCUAUAGAUCUUGGUUGGAACAUCAAUAGCGACAGCAUCACUCUAUUUUUUAACUGACACUGAAUCACUAAAGUGUGGGGAGCAAACCGG
rnacentral:rRNA from 1 species